rnacentral:rRNA from 1 species
CGCAUCUGUGCAUGCAGCAUAUCAAUAAGCGGAGGAAAAGAAACUAACAAGGAUUCCCCUAGUAACGGCGAGUGAAGCGGGAAGAGCUCAAAUUUGAAAUCUUAAAGGGUUUCCCUUUACGAAUUGUAGUUUAAAGAAGUGUUUUCUGUUGAGGUUUUGGUAAAAGUUCUUUGGAAUAGGACAUCAUAGAGGGUGAGAAUCCCGUAUUUGACCUUUACUUUCAACUUUGUGAUACACUUUCAAAGAGUCGGAUUGUUUGGGAAUGCAGUCCAAAAUGGGUGGUAAAUUUCAUCUAAAGCUAAAUAUUGGCGAGAGACCGAUAGCGAACAAGUACCGUGAGGGAAAGAUGAAAAGAACUUUGAAAAGAGAGUUAAACAGUACGUGAAAUUGUCAAAAGGGAAGCGCUUGACACCAGUGUUGUUUUUCUGAAAAUCAAUUAAAGAACUGUUUAUGCUAAGUUGUUUAGACUUUAUCAGCUAUCUGUUUAGUUUUGAGCUUUUCUUUAAUGCACUUUUCAGUUAACAAGUCAACAUCAAUUUCUUUUGCUGUAAAAAAGCUUGAGGAAGGUGGCUUGAGAUUCGUCUUAAGUGUUUAUAGCCUCUUGCCUAUGCAGUCGGAGAGAUUGAGGUCUGCAGCGUAGAUCCUUCGGGGCUAAAUGCAUUUGUGCUAAGUUAUAGCAUUUUAUAGACAACUUGUUGACUAUGAUUUGUCUUGUAGCUUACUCGCUUAUGUUAUUUUACCUACGCUUAGGAUGUUGAGUCGUAGAGCACGCAG